rnacentral:tRNA from 1 species
AUCAAAGUGGUGAAAUUGGUAAACACGUUACACUUAGGAUGUAAAGCUUAUAAAAGCAUUAAGGGUUCGAGUCCCUUCUUUGAUA